rnacentral:rRNA from 1 species
AUACGAAGGGGGCUAGCGUUGUUCGGAAUUACUGGGCGUAAAGCGCGCGUAGGCGGACUGAUCAGUUGGGGGUGAAAUCCCAGGGCUUAACCCUGGAACUGCCUCCAAUACUGUCAGUCUUGAGUUCGGGAGAGGUGAGUGGAAUUCCUAGGGUAGAGGUGAAAUUCGUAGAUAUUAGGAAGAACACCAGUGGCGAAGGCGGCUCACUGGCCCGAUACUGACGCUGAGGCGCGAAAGCGUGGGGAGCAAACAGGAUUAGAAACCCUAGUAGUCC